GCAAAAUGUAUUCUUCAUUUUCUCCAUUGCAUCCUCUCUUUCUCUUCAUCUUUUCGGCUGUUCUUCCUUCUCUCUCUAUACCUUUCUCUCUCUUUCUCUUUACUUCGCGAGAGUCUCUUCAGACUCUGCCCUCUAUUUGAUUCCCUUAAGAUCGGUUUGUGAGCUUCCUCUCUCUACUCCCUGUUCAGUCGACGUCUCCUCUCUCUACUCCCUAUUCAGUCGACGGCUACUCCAUCUUUCUGUGCAACCUCGCCGCUCCCAUUUUUAUCGUCUUCCGGUUCAGUCUGCGCUGCCACCGUCGCCGCAUAGGGAAAUAGCUAUAAGUGAUAGGAAUUUCCCCUUCUCCUCCUUCUAUGGCGAAUAUCAAAACUCAGAAAAUCACUCCAGCGUACUUACUAAAUUCGACGACUUCACCAUCGACCUGAUGGAUGAGAAGAGAUGACUUCUCCUUCGCCGAAGAGAAAAUUAGAAACGUCGAUGGCGUCUUCUCUAGCGCGAAUAAAAGUUCGAGCUAAUGGUCCUAAUGAUGUGAGGUGAUUAUGGGAUAUCCGUCUUCCCCGUGGAAGACGACAUAUUUUGCUGAAAAUUUGAGACAUCUUGCUUCCAUCCUAACAUCAGACGUUUUAUGGAAACAUAUGCUUGGACAUAUUACAGGAUAAGUGGUUGCCUGCCUAUGAUGUUGGAACUAUCUUACUGUCGAUUUAGAGUUUGCUUGGAGCAAGAGAUAUAUGUAGAGAUGAGGAAAUCUAUGAAGCUCGGAUCGGCACAUGAUUAAUUUCAGAAUGAUGUGACAAUAUUAAGAACUUUGAUAUUUAUUUGUAGCUCGAGUUGUUUAUUUUCAUUGCAUAGGAACUUCGAUAUUUUCUUUUUGUACAAAGAUGACAUAUAUACCUCAUUCGGAAGCCUCCUAAAUUUCUUUGAUUGUAACCCUAUGAUUGUAACCCUUUUGUAACCCUAUGUGAUUGUAAAUUUAUUUAUUCUUUUGCCAUUCUUGUAAUGAAAUUGAUGGAUGGGAGUUA